UGGGGAAUUUUGGACAAUGGGCGAAAGCCUGAUCCAGCAAUGCCGCGUGUGUGAAGAAGGCCUUCGGGUUGUAAAGCACUUUUGUCCGGAAAGAAAUCCUUGGCUCUAAUACAGUCGGGGGAUGACGGUACCGGAAGAAUAAGCACCGGCUAACUACGUGCCAGCAGCCGCGGUAAUACGUAGGGUGCAAGCGUUAAUCGGAAUUACUGGGCGUAAAGCGUGCGCAGGCGGUUUGCUAAGACCGAUGUGAAAUCCCCGGGCUCAACCUGGGAACUGCAUUGGUGACUGGCAGGCUAGAGUAUGGCAGAGGGGGGUAGAAUUCCACGUGUAGCAGUGAAAUGCGUAGAGAUGUGGAGGAAUACCGAUGGCGAAGGCAGCCCCCUGGGCCAAUACUGACGCUCAUGCACGAAAGCGUGGGGAGCAAACAGGAUUAGAUACCCUGGUAAUCCACGCCCUAAACGAUGUCAACUAGUUGUUGGGGAUUCAUUUCCUUAGUAACGUAGCUAACGCGUGAAGUUGACCGCCUGGGGAGUACGGUCGCAAGAUUAAAACUCAAAUGAAUUGACGGGGUCAUAGCUGUUUCC
rnacentral:rRNA from 1 species